ACCUUGGUGACCUAGGCUAGUACCAGGUCCCCCUCUAAGGGACUUGUCCCCCUCUAAGGGACUUGCGUCGGUCCUAUCCUAGGCCGAAUAGGUGAAUAAAUACUUACGGACGGCCUUGGUCUGUCCUAGAGGUUAUCAACAUAUGAACUCUUAGAGAAAUUACUUAAUAAACGAAGUGAAUUGAAAUAUCUUAUUAACUUCAGGAAAAGAAAUCAAACGAGAUUCUAUGAUUAGUGUGAACGAAAAUAGAGCAGCCUAUUAAAAUAAGUAAAAUGGCUUUAAAGCUGUUUGAAUAUUGUGGGGAACCUUCCUCAAAGGCUAAAUAUAAUACAUGAGUUACAGAGAAAAGUACCGUGAGGGAAAGCUUUGAAAUAGUAGUUUUAUAAGCAGCUCAAGCAAUAAGAAAGCGAGAGCGUACCUUUUGCAUAAUGGGUCACCAAGUUAAUUUUAGAUGCGAGCGAAUUUAUUUAUGUUUUUACUGAUUAAACAAUAUAAUGAAUCAUAAUUAUUUUUGUAACGAGUAUUAGUAUUAAAUCUUAAUUUAAUAUUAGUAUAAGUUUUCAGUAUGGCGGCUACAUAGCAUAAUCUAUGCAGCCAGCCAAUAAUUGGAUUUCCAAUCCAAUUUCGGUAAUAAAUAGAUGUGCAUAGUUAAACCGAUCAUUAAAAUAAUGAAUAGUGUCUAAAGUUAGACCCGAAGCCUGGUGAUCUUACUAUAGUCAGGACUAUAAAGGUCCGAACGGGUUAUCGUUGCAAAGAUAUCCGAAGAACUAUGGUAAGCGAGUGAAAGACAACACUGACUAGGAUAGCUGGUUUUCUGCGAAACCUAUAAUAGUAGGCAAUUUAAGUAACAUCUUAGUAGGUACAGAACUUAAUCUCAGACAAGAUGUAGAUUUUCAUACCUAUGUUUAGGUAUGAAAUGCAUUUUUUUUUGUAUACAUCGGGGGAUCGUGAAGAUUUUAUCGGUGAGUAUGUAGACUCGGAAUGACAAAGAUGAAUCUUGAAUAAUCAGACAUAGAAUGAUAAGGUUGUAUGUCAAAAGGGAAACAGCCCAGAACAAGAGUUAAGGUUCCAAAAUUAUUAUUAAGUGAAAUAAAGAAAGUUUUUAUAUAAGUCGACAAGAAGAUGGGCUUGGAAGCAGCCAUAAUUUAAAGAUCUCGUAACAGAGCACUUGUUAAAUCUUAAAAGCAUCGAAAAUUUAACGGAUCUAAAUAAUAUACCGAAACCUUGUCCAUAUGUAACAUUAGUAAUAAUAUGCUAUUAAUGUUAUUUGAUGGGGUAGCAGAACGUUGAGUGAAUCUUAGAUUUUUUUUUUAUAACUAAAUAUAGAUGAUAACUCAAGUGAGAAUGGUGACAUGAGUAACAAAAAAGAGUUUAAGGUACCUAAAAGGUAUCUUAGAGUCUCGCCUAAAGCUUAUGGCUACGUCAAGUAACGGCCUCUAAGUUUAUAAUCUGAAGAUUAUGACGAUGAGAAAAUAACGCGCAGAAGUGCGCUGCUUUGAUACUUAUGGUACCAACAUUUAAAAGUGAAAAUUGUGCAGGAAGGAUCAGUAUCCUUUCAUUCUUAUGUGGGGGAGUGGACAAAACUGAACAGAGUGUAUCUGAACACAGAUGAGUCCACACCCCCCCCCAUGUAAUGAAUGAAUGACAAACCGUACCUAGAAUCUGAAACAAGUAAGCUAGUAGAGAAUACGAAGGCGUGAAUGAGAUAACAAUCAUAAAGGAACUCGGCAAACUAACUACCGUAACUUAGGGAUAAGGAGAGCUCAUUAGUCUCGAUUAAUACGAGUAAAAAGGAAGAAGCAUGGAAUAUUGUUGUACGACUGUUUAAUUAAAACAAAGCACUUUGCAAAAAGACGAUAAGUCUAAGUAUUGAGUGUGAUUUCUGCCCGAUGCCGGCUGGUUAACGAAUUUUCUAAAUUGAAAAAAAAUUUGGUUUCAGAGGAACCCCCGGUUAAUGGCGGCCUUAGCGUGAGGGUCCUAAGGUAGCGAAAUGCCUUGGCCGUUAAAUGCGGUCUUGCAUGAAUGAUGUAACGAUACAACAGCUGUCUCUAUGAUUGACUCAGUGAAAUUGGAAUAACUGUGCAGAUACAGUUUACCUCUAGUUAGACGAGAAGACCCUAUGCAGCUUUACUGUUACUAAUUAUUGAAUACGAUUCUGAAAAUUUCCAGUGUAAAAGGUAAUCGAUAAGAUAUAAUUGAAACACCUUUAUUUUUCUAUCGUAUUAUUAAACCUUAAAUUAAGGAACAAUUGUUAGAAGACAGUUUAUGCGGGGCACAGGCCCCAUAAAGAGUAAAUGGGUGUGUCUAAAAUUUAUAAAUUUAUGUUUGCAAUUUUUUAUAGUGAUUAUAUAUCAAAUCAUCUUUAUGCUAUUCAUAGAGUGUAUUUAUUAUAUUCCUUGGGUACAGUAUAAAAAUUAUAUAUGUAUUAAUUUACAUAUAUUUUUUCUAAGAAAUUAGGUAAGAUUUUGUUUAUAGAGAAAUUAGAUGUAAAAAAAAAAUCUUAUGAGGGCGGUAUUUAAUAAUCCGCUUCUAAUAUUUUUUUGUAGUUAUUAUUAUAAAUUUAAUAAUAAUCAUGUUUAUUACUUAAAAAGCUUAAUGGCUUAAUCUUGCCUUACUGUUUGAUUAACAACAAAUCUUACAGUCGCGUAAGCGGGGCAUAGGAUCACAAGAUACAAAAAGGAAAGAUCUUGGAUUUUUGGAAAAGCUACGCUAGGGAUGUUUGUCCUUCAAUAUUCUAUUUAAGGGUGCUCCAAAUGAGGCCUAAGGUGAAGCCUCAGCAAGCUCCACCCUUCGCAAUGUAGCCUUAAUAAUUUAGUGCUCCUGCAGUCCUUUUUUUUCCCCCGCAAGCUUGCGGGUAGCCUCCGGCUAAGCGAAGCUCGGCCCUACCACUUCCCCCCCCCCCUGCAGUACUGCAGGGAGGGGGAGGUUAGGAGCUCAAAAAAUUACAGGACGCACAUAUUUAUUUAGCUAUAAACAUUGCCAUCCUUAAAUAAAAUUAUUGAUAAUAUAUUGGGUUAAUUUCAAAAAUUACUUUUAUAAUUUAAGUAAAUUUGAAGCGAAAUUUAUCUUAGCAUAAGGUGGGUGCUAGCACACAGUGUAGCUCGCUAGUGGCUAGUGGCUAGUGGCUAGUGCCUACUAAAAAGAUAAAAUCGUUCAACGACUAUAAGGUGAGUAAUGCUAACAAUAAUCCUUUAUUAACACCCAACUUUCUUUUUUUUAUUAUGUAUAAAAUAUAUAAAUCAGCAAGUAGUAAAAUAAUUUAAGAUGAAUAAUACUAACACUAACACUAAUAAUAAAAAUUUAGCCUCCUCUUCCGCUAGUGUAAUUUUUAGUAAAUAUAUAAAUAAUAAUAAUAAUAAAUUAAUACCUUUUAAGAUAAAAAAUUCUGACCUAGGAAGAACGAGAUAUUUCCCUCCUAUAUCUAAAGAAUGAAAAAAUAGUAUUUAUGUCUUUAAUCAUAAUAACUUAAAAAAUUUACCUCUUUUUGAUAUAAAUAUUAAUUCCUUAAUAAAAGAUUAUUUUAAUUUACAAUUUAAGGAUAAAAUUUUAUUCAAAAAAAAGAGACUUUCUAAAGUUAAAGUUGUAUCUCUGAAUAAAAUAUAUGCUAGUAAAGCGGAAAUAAAGCAUACUAAUACUAAAGCUAUUUUAACUGUGUAUACUUUUAAUCGAGAAAAGAUAUCUUUAUAUAAAAAAAUAAAGAAAUUAAAAAAAUCUUUUUAUUUUGUUUUUGAUAAAAUAAUUUCUUUUAGUGAACGUGUAAUAUUGAGUGGUGUUCCUAUAAGGGUAGAUAAGGAUGGUAAGGUAUUAUCAAAUCUGUAUUUACCUUUUAGAUUACGUGGUGUAUUACCUUGAAUUACUGAAUCUCAUGUGAAUAUUUGGAGAAAAAUAAUUAUAGCUUCCCUAUAUAAAGAAUUAAUACUUCUUAGAAAAUACAAAUUAAGAUUAGAUCUUAAUAAGUAUAAAUUUGAAGAAAAACUUUUAUAUAGAUUAAAUAAUUUAAUAAUGAAGUAUUAUAAUAAAAAAGUAGAGUUUAAUAUUGUAAAUAUGAGAUCUUUUCUUCUUAAUAGUGAUAUAUUGACUAAAAUAUUAGCACUUAAAUUGAAAAACAGGAAUGCCCGUGUAAUAAAAAUUAUGGAUGUUAUAUUAAAUAAGGCAAAUUUACCUAAAAUAAAUAGAGUUCAGGAAAAAGCUUCCUUAAUAAAAAGUGUAGAUUGAAAUUUAUUAGAAAAUAAGUUUAAAAAUCUCAAUUUAAGUUUUAUAUUAAAUGAUGCUUCGUACGCGGAGCGUAAUAAUUUAUCUGAAUUGUUAAAUAAAUUAUAUUAUAAUGUUCUUUUAGUCAGCCAAAAAGGGGUAUGAGCGCUUCGCUCCCCGAAGGGGGAGCAGCCUUCCUUCCACUCAAAGAGUGGAGGCUCGCCUACUAAAUUUAUUCAGAAAGGCGCAGGCGCAGCUUCGCUAGGAGGAAAUGCUAAGGCGCAGCCUAAAGUUUCUAGCUUCGCUAAGGCCAAAAAAUAUGCAAAAAUAUAUCAAAUCAUAUUUAAUUCUAUAAAUUAUAAAAAUAUGGGUGGUCUAAGACUGGAAAUUAAAGGUAGAUUAACUAAACGUUAUAGAGCUGAUAGAUCUUUAUUUAAAGUAAAAUGAAAAGGUGGAUUAAAAAAUCUAGAUUCGUCAUAUAAAGGGUUAUCAUCUGUAAAUAUGAGAGGUUAUGCUAAACCUAAUGUAGAGUAUUCAAUAUUUACAUCUAAACGUCGUAUUGGAGCUUUUGCAGUAAAAGGUUGAGUUAGCGGUAAAUAGAAAUCCCGUAUCCCCCCGUCCCCCCGCCCUGCAGUACUGCAGGGGGGGAGGGGGGAUUAGGAAGUGCCACUUCUAAACCCCCGCAAGCUUGCGGGGGUUUGUUGAGGGGUAGGUUGUUUAUAUUACAUUAAGAUUAACUAAUAAAAAUACAUAUAAAAAAGAAAUGAAGAAAUAGUCUGAACCAUUAUGUGAAUGAUGGAAAUAAAUCAAUAUGAUAACAAGUUGAACAGGCUAAUUUGCGCAAGAGUGUACAAAAUGAGUGCGCGGUUUGGCACCUCGAUGUCGGCUUGACUAAUCCUCAUGGAUGCAGAAACUAUGUAGGGUACGACUGUUCGUCGAUUAAAAAGUUACAUGAGCUGGGUUAAAUACGUCGUGAGACAGUAUGGUUUCUAUCUUCUAGAGGGAAUUAGAAUAUAAUAAGGAUUAACCUUUGUACGAAAGGAACAUGGGGUACUAUUGUUAUACCUAGUUGUAUAACAGUUUUAUUAACCUCUGGUUUACCUGUUGUUUAUGUGCCUUAUAUUAAUUUCAUGUGUGAUGCUCCGCAAGGAUAUUACAGGGAUGUUACCGUCACUUGAGUAAAUACAAUAGCAUAAGCAUGGCAGGAAAGCUAAGUUAGUCAAAAAUAAGUGCUGAAAGCAUAUAGGCACGAAAUUUACCUUAAGAUAUUUCUUAAAUAUACGUAAGAAAAUAUUACGUUAAUAGGCUUAGUUUGUAAUAAUCUAGAGAUUUUAAGGAACUAAGUACUAAUUUUAUAAAAAACUGAAUGAUUAAUAU
rnacentral:rRNA from 1 species